rnacentral:rRNA from 1 species
GCUACCAUGCAGUCGACGGAACGAUGCUAGCUUGCUAGCAGGCGUCGAGUGGCGGACGGGUGAGUAAUAUAUAGGGAUCUGCCUAAUAGUGGGGGACAACGUGUGGAAACGCACGCUAAUACCGCAUACGCUCUACGGAGGAAAGUGGGGGAUCUUCGGACCUCAUGCUAUUAGAUGAACCUAUAUCGGAUUAGCUUGUUGGUGAGGUAAUGGCUCACCAAGGCGACGAUCCGUAGCUGGUUUGAGAGAAUGAUCAGCCACACUGGGACUGAGACACGGCCCAGACUCCUACGGGAGGCAGCAGUGGGGAAUAUUGCACAAUGGACGAAAGUCUGAUGCAGCAAUGCCGCGUGUGUGAAGAAGGCCUUCGGGUUGUAAAGCACUUUCAGAUGUGAGGAAAAGCAGUCUAUUAAUACUAGAUUGCCGUGACGUUAACAUCAGAAGAAGGACCGGCUAACUCCGUGCCAGCAGCCGCGGUAAUACGGAGGGUCCAAGCGUUAAUCGGAAUUACUGGGCGUAAAGCGCGCGUAGGCGGAUAAUUAAGUCAGAUGUGAAAUCCCUGGGCUCAACCUAGGAACUGCAUUUGAUACUGGUUAUCUAGAGUAUGGUAGAGGUGAGUGGAAUUUCAGGUGUAGCGGUGAAAUGCGUAGAGAUCUGAAGGAACAUCAGUGGCGAAGGCGACUCACUGGGCCAUUACUGACGCUGAGGUGCGAAAGCGUGGGUAGCAAACAGGAUUAGAUACCCUGGUAGUCCACGCCCUAAACGAUGUCAACUAGGUGUGUGAGAGUCUAACUCUUGCGUAUCGAAGCUAACGCGAUAAGUUGACCGCCUGGGGGAGUAGCUACCAUGCAGAACUA